CCCAGACUCCUACGGGAGGCAGCAGUGGGGAAUAUUGCACAAUGGGGGGAACCCUGAUGCAGCGACGCCGCGUGGGUGAAGGAGCACCUCGGUGCGUAAAGCCCUCUCGGCAGGGAAGAAAAGCGAACAGGUUCGCCUGGACGGUACCUGACUAAGAAGCCCCGGCUAACUACGUGCCAGCAGCCGCGGUAAUACGUAGGGGGCAAGCGUUAUCCGGAUUCACUGGGUGUAAAGGGAGCGUAGACGGCGACGCAAGUCUGGAGUGAAAGCCCGGGGCUCAACCCCGGUACUGCAUUGGAAACUGUCGGACUAGAGUGUCGGAGGGGUAAGUGGAAUUCCUAGUGUAGCGGUGAAAUGCGUAGAUAUUAGGAGGAACACCAGUGGCGAAGGCGGCUUACUGGACUGUAAAUGACGCUGAGGCUCGAAAGCGUGGGGAGCAAACAGGAUUAGAUACCCCAGUAC
rnacentral:rRNA from 1 species